rnacentral:rRNA from 1 species
GACGAACGCUGGCGGCGUGCUUAACACAUGCAAGUCGAACGGAAAGGCCCUGCUUUUGUGGGGUGCUCGAGUGGCGAACGGGUGAGUAACACGUGAGUAACCUGCCCUUGACUUUGGGAUAACUUCAGGAAACUGGGGCUAAUACCGGAUAGGAGCUCCUGCUGCAUGGUGGGGGUUGGAAAGUUUCGGCGGUUGGGGAUGGACGCGCGGCUUAUCAGCUUGUUGGUGGGGUAGUGGCUUACCAAGGCUUUGACGGGUAGCCGGCCUGAGAGGGUGACCGGCCACAUUGGGACUGGGAUACGGCCCAGACUCCUACGGGAGGCAGCAGUGGAGAAUAUUGCACAAUGGGCGCGAGCCUGAUGCAGCAACGCCGCGUGCGGGAUGACGGCCUUCGGGUUGUAAACCGCUUUCGCCUGUGACGAAGCGUGAGUGACGGUAAUGGGUGAAGAAGCACCGGCUAACUACGUG